CCGGCACUCACGGAAGGCAGCGCAGCCCGUCCCUGGCGCCGGUGUCCGUGUGGUUCUGGGCACAGCUCGCCUCCUCCUCCGGUGGGAUCCUGCAGGCUGGGGAGCCUGAGCUACGAUGGAGCCGAAACGUAGCCGAUGCUCUGAGGAGCUCCCCAAAGGAAGGUGGAAGAAACUGCUCAGGCUCUUGUAGAGCUAACAGAGAGGAUGCCGUGAAGACCCACCCAACCCUGCCGUCCUCAGCCACAGCCCAACAACGCCUACAAGCCCUGGCGGGAGGAAAGCACCGUGUGUAUCCUGCAGCAGUGGGCUCCCUGUGGGGGCUGGAGUCCGGUCCGGAGCAAAUGCCAUCGGGGAGCUAAAAGGGUACAGCACUGAGAGAGGAUAAGAAAAUGGAAUUGACUCCAACUUGGUCCUGAGGCCGGGAAAUGACAACGCCUGUCAUGGACAGAGCGGGCAAGGCAGAUGAGGCUGGCAUCUCCUUCAACCCUGAGCCUUGGGCAGGACUGAGAAGCCAGAUCUGUCACCAGUCCCCCCUGCCUCCCUGGCUGUUCUCCAGGGGUUAUCCCCAAGCUUAAAACAAGGGAGUUUCUCUCACGAGGGUUUACCAUGACCAUGAACAAAAGCUAUAGCAAAACCCCAAAGCCCUCACGGGCUUGAGCCGGGUGAACAGGCCCUCAGCUGCAGCGGGUGAACAGGCCCUCAGCUGCAGGUGUAAACUGUCUGUGGUUGGAUGUGCUGGGCAAAAUGAGCCAGGCAGGGAUGAGGGACUGUGCUUGGAGCCACACCUUGGGCAGCAGAGGAGACGCCAAGCAGGGCAGUCCGGGCGGGACACCCUUCUCCCCAGCAGCUUCGCAGGGGGCUGGAGCCAGAUCAACGUCAGCCUGGGGACACAGACACACGCUCAGGCUGAUAGCUUGCACUUGGCCCAGCAUGACUGAUGACACAGUCCUGCUGCUGUACGUGGCCAGAGCAGGCUGCUCAGCAGCGGGGAGGUUGAUGGCACAACCCUCCAGUGCUGCCCACCCAGCCACAUCCCUCCCAGCCCUGCUCUUCACCUCCAGCCCCUGCCUGCCUCCUCCCUCUGAAGCUUCCUGAUCCGGUCACUCCGUGAAUUUCCAGCUGGAAAUUUCACAGUGAGGUGCCUUCCUAUCAGACUAGUCCUAAAGGAAAUGAACUAAAGCAAGUCUCACUGGCAGUUGUGUGGUGGGAAGAAGCAAGAAGGCUCUGUACAAAUCCGCCUGGCUUCCUGCUGACAGCUUCUGCAUGAGGCACCAGGCAAUAGGUCUCUGCUCCCUUUUGGCCCCAAGGAAAGUCAGUCUCCUGGAGAUGAAGCCUGACUGUGCUCAGCCACAGCUUAACCAAGAGGCUGAAAGAGAGCCUUGAGCACUGCGCCCAGAAUGCCAGGCUCACCAAUUUGUGUCACAGUUAAUGCAUGACAGAGAGCUUUGAGACUCCCCUUUCUUGGGGACUGGUGAGACCAGGAAAAAGCCUGCUCCAAGCCAGAGCUGGAUCAAAAGGUCACUACAGUGAUGUUUUUCACACCAUUGCCAUCAGCAAUGAAAUUACAAAGGACUUAUUAGCGUUAUUCCUACAUAACAGCUUCCCUUGUCUCGUGGGAACAACAAUCCUCGGACACAUUCCUCAUGCAGCAUCCCAGCUCCUCUCCCUCAUGAGGACCCCAGAGCCCGUGUACAGCAACCCCCUCAGCUAGGUCCACGGAAUCUGGAGUGGGAGAUGGGCUGCAGUACUGUGCUGCAGCCUCAGCUGGGGCACUGAGACCCUCCAUAUCACACGUCCUGAUGUAGCCAAACCCACCCAGACUCUGCCCCUACUCUGCACACUUCUUUCCUCAUCCUUCAUCCUGCACACUCUUAACCUAAGAAGCAGUUAGUCUUUACUGCACUGCUUAAUCAAAUCAAAAUAGCUGUGUGGCUGGUAAAACCCUGACUCCUGCCCAGCUGCAAAUGCCUGUAGCUCAUUUUGGGUAGAGCUUUGGGCCUCAGCUUGUUGGCAGCUGAGUAGGAGUUAGCAUGGAGAUCAGAGUCUGAGAGCUGGCAGUCCUGCAGCCCUAAGAAGCGCAGUGCUGGGCUGGCAGGGGUCUCAGGACAGAGCCUGGCGUUGGGAAGGCUCAGGAAGGCACAGGGAGGUAAGCGAGGUUUACGCUGUGGGGUCAGUAGGGAGCUGGCAAGGACCACAAGCAAACAGAAUUCUGUGGACGAGAGCAGGCGUUGCAGCUUCCAUAACACUUGCCAAGGGCCUGGACGUUACUCUGAACAAAAACAACCGAGAUCUACAUGUGUCCCAUGGAAACCACCAGAAGCUGUUUGCUGGCUUCCUAAAGCCAGUGGCUGUUGCCUUCCCAUUUGGACAAGGCACACAGGUGGUCCUGGGCUCCCUCUAUCCCCAUGGGCUGGUCCCUAAGCACAGCCUCUGCCAGGAGAACUGGGAAUGAAGCUGGGCAGUGAAGAAGGUGCAGCACGGGAGUGGGUGAAGGGGUGCCUUGUCCUCCGCACCCUGGCUCACCCCCAUACCACAGCAAGGAUUAAGACGAGUCAGGCCAGGGCAACAACAAAGCCCAUGGCUCAUCUUUAAAGAGGAAGAGGCUCAUUAACACCUCCCAGCCCAAGAUAAUGAGAGCAGCCAUGCCAUGCUGGGGAAUUGAUGCCAGUAGUUAAUUAUGCAGCUUUGUGAGGAAUGGAGAAGAGGGACAGCUGCAGGAUGGAGGUGCCAUACUGUCUUGUGUGCUGGUGCCACAUCUGCUGAUUUAAGCUGAAGUGAAUUUCUUCAGCCUCCUCACUGCAGAUAUCUGGUACAGCCUCCACCUCUUGUCUGCACUAGUUGCGGAGGGACAAGUCAUCCUGCAAAGCAUCUUCUGGGGCUGAUGUUACAGCCCUUAUUGCCGAAAAGAAAGUGCCUUUGCUCUAUGAAAAUCUUUUUAGUGAGCCAAGAGCAAGCCUACCUGUCUUUUCCAGGAGCAAAGAAAACAACGGCAGGAGCAGGAGUGCUUUGGAGGGCAUAUGUGUGGUGUCAGCACUGGACUGACAUUAUUGAUGGCCCAUGAGCUGUACAAAGACAGCCAGUGAAGCCAAGGGAAAAGCAUCCCUGCACGGUCACAUCCUGAGAUAGCUGUGUGGAGAAGGCAGGCUCAAGGGAGCCUGAGGCUGUCCAGCAGCUCGCAGGUGCUGGUGAAUGGAAACAAUGCCACCGAGCCGGGGUGCAGUGCAGAAGGA